UCAACCCGAGAAUUGCUUUCGAAACUGUAAGGCUAGAGUACUAGAGGGGAUGGUGGAAUUCCUUGUGUAGAGGUGAAAUUCGUAGAUAUUAGGAGGAACACCGGUGGCGAAGGCGACCAUCUGGCUAGAUACUGACGCUGUUGCACGAAAGCGUGGGGAGCAAACAGGAUUAGAUACCCUGGAUAGUCCACGCUGUAAACGAUGAGUACUAAAUGUUGGUAGGGAACCUAUCAGUAUUGAAGUUAACACGAUAAGUACUCCGCCUGGGAAGUACGGCCGCAAGGUUGAAACUCAAAUGAAUUGACGGGGACCCGCACAAGCGGUGGAUGAUGUGGAUUAAUUCGAUGCAACGCGAACAACCUUACCUACCCUUGACAUGUCCGGAAGGCUGCUGAAAGGUGGCUGUGCCCGAAAGGGAACCGGAACACAGGUGCUGCAUGGCUGACGUCAGCUCGUGUCGUGAGAUGUUGGGUUAAGUCCCGCAACGAGCGCAACCCUUGUCCCUAGUUGCUACGCAAGGGCACUCUAGGGAGACUGCCGGUGACAAACCGGAGGAAGGUGGGGAUGACGUCAAGUCCUCAUGGCCCUUAUGGGUAGGGCUUCACACGUCAUACAAUGGACGGUACAGAGGGUUGCCAACCCGCGAGGGGGAGCCAAUCCCAGAAAGCCGUUCGUAGUCCGGAUCGCAGUCUGCAACUCGAC
rnacentral:rRNA from 1 species